AGACUGCACCUUCUGUUUAAAACUUUGCACCCCAAAAUCAACAACGCAUUGGUGUUUUUAAUACUUCUAUCAAGAUUCACAGUGCUUACAACGAACAAAGCCAAUCAACUUUAAACAAUGGGAAAAACGAGAAGAUGCUUCAUGCUCGUGGCUGGCUGGACUAACUUUAUAAGUCAACCAUUGUACUGCCCUGAUGUGUCCACUGUUGACUCAGGCUAUCACGGUCUUAGGGAGGGAUUAAGGUUUUCUCCCAAAUCCAGGCCUGCCUGUCCGGUGGUCAUCUUUUGUUAUGAGAUUGGCUGGAGAGCACUCAGAAGCUUUGUGAGCUUGACAGCGUCCAGUGAGUUGGCUGACAAAGGUGGAGGAUACAAAGAGCCAUCUAGAACCUCCGAAUAAUAGUUUCAGGCAACACGGUUGAAGUCCUCAGAGAAUAACAGGCCUGAAAAGGAGCGAAAUAACUUCAAACCACCACCUCGGUCCUGAUAAACACCUUAGACUGCCAGAAAUUCUCACAAACCGUUUCAUGGAUACAGGCCUUGAUCUCAUCAUCAUUCCAGGAAAAAACAAACAAAACGUGGGUGAAAUAACCCUGCGGCUCCCUCACAGCUCCUGAGACAGUGCCUGCGUUAGGGAAGCUCAAGUGUGAAAAAACAAUGCGGAUUUCCUCCCAGUUGGCAGGACAAAGCAGUUUUCAGAUAAAGUCCAUUGACGGAGGAGAGACAACAAACUUCCGUGACCUUGAUUGAACUUCCUUCGUGGUGAGGAGAAGCCAGCGGACACAUUCCCAGAACCACAGCCAAGGAUGGAGGAAGCAGCUCCAGGAGCCCGGGAGAAAGAGCUGAGGAAGGACCACGUGCACCUGUGCACGCCGGCAAGGCAGUGAGUGGGAAGAUAAUACGUGCUACCAGACAGCAAGUGGCCUUGAGUCCCCAUAGGCUCCUUCCUGUGUUACAUAACAUCCUAACGAGGUUACAGCCAGAGCCCAAACAGCGUUUAUUGAGCUGUGAAUUGCACUCACUCCACAGCCCGGAUGAAAUGAUGGUCAGUCCAUUUUUACUACGCCCGUGGUACAGAUCGAACGGCUUGCACAGCCCAAUGAAAAUGAUGGUCGAUUGUUUCCACAUCAAGUCUUGUGCUCUGAUUUCCCCUGAAGUAUCCAACUGGAUUGUCAGCUUCAAUCUCCUUCUCUCCUUCGGUUUAGAGGAUUCAAAACCUCUUUAUAUUCAGGGAGAGUUAGGAGGAAGGGGAGGGGAAAUAGGGUAGCAGAAAAAGAAAACCUGCAAACUGGGCAACCAGGAGAGAAAUUUAUAAGAAUAAUUGGUUUAAAAAAGUACUCCUCACGCCCUGGCCAGUGUGGCCAAUGUGGCCAGUGUAGCCAGUGUGGCCGGGGCCUCGUCCUGUAACCCAAAGAAUGUGGGUUCAAUCCAGGGUCAGGGCACAUACCCAGGUGGUAGGUUCAGUUUCCCCAUCUGGGAGCAUAGGACCCCCCAUCUGGGCAGGUAUGGGAGGCAACCAACUGAUGUUUCUCCCUCUCCCUCCAUCUCUCUCUAAAAGCAAUGAAAAAAAGUCCUCAGGUGAGGAUAAAAAAAUUAGAAAUAAAAAAAAUUACUCCUCAUGGAUCAGAUUAAUUAAUCAACGUCAAAAGCAGGACAGUCAUGUUCUUAGUUACUCAACAAAUGUUCAUUGACUGCUGAGCGCUUGCUACAGCCUAGAGGGGAGCUUGUGUCUAAGACUUUCUCCCUCCUUCAUGACCAGGUUCAACACACCACCCGCCCUCCCCUUGGGCUCCACCCUCUGCCUCUGCCCAGGUGCUACUACAUCCGUGCAUCCUCCCAGGCUGGUGUCCUAAGUCCACCGGCUCUUCUUACUAGUUCACUGACUCUGCUCCCGACCCUGCUUUGGGCCCCCUCUUGUC